UACGUAGGGUGCAAGCGUUAAUCGGAAUUACUGGGCGUAAAGCGUGCGCAGGCGGCUUUGCAAGACAGAUGUGAAAUCCCCGGGCUUAACCUGGGAACUGCAUUUGUGACUGCAUGGCUGGAGUGCGGCAGAGGGGGAUGGAAUUCCGCGUGUAGCAGUGAAAUGCGUAGAUAUGCGGAGGAACACCGAUGGCGAAGGCAAGCCCCUGGGCCUGCACUGACGCUCAUGCACGAAAGCGUGGGGAGCAAACAGG
rnacentral:rRNA from 1 species